UACGUAGGGUGCGAGCGUUGUCCGGAAUUAUUGGGCGUAAAGAGCUCGUAGGCGGUUUGUCGCGUCGGCUGUGAAAACUCGGGGCUCAACCCCGAGCCUGCAGUCGAUACGGGCAAACUAGAGUGUGGUAGGGGAGACUGGAAUUCCUGGUGUAGCGGUGAAAUGCGCAGAUAUCAGGAGGAACACCGGCGGCGAAGGCGGGUCUCUGGGCCAUAACUGACGCUGAGGAGCGAAAGCGUGGGGAGCGAACAGG
rnacentral:rRNA from 1 species